UUGGGUCAACGGUAGCUAAUUAUAAACAGUUGUAUUAUAUAUUGCAUUACACCCGUGGUAAUUCAUUUCACGGAAAAGCUACUAAAAUAACUCAGUUUUCGGAAGAGUUUGCUAUAAACCUUUGUUUGACAUUCCGCUAGUGUAUUGUAUCGAUAUAAAAUAGAAACAAUUUCGUGUAUCUAUAUUUAAACAUAGUUUAUAAAAAAGUAUCAUAAUAUUAUGAAGAAGGACUUUUGCCUAAUUAACGAAUAAUAAUACAUGUACGCUAAAGGGCUCGUUUCCUGGGUCAAACUCACCAAUACUAAGUUUCUAUGUGUGGCCACAAAAAACGUUCCUCGAACGGAAAUCGAAGCCGGGACCUCUUGGUCGGGAGAGGCGGACACUCUACCUCUGAUUCAUCCCGACUGAUAUUUUUUGAAGCUAAAGCUUGAGGAAAGAUCGUAAACAAGAAAGAGAAGUGGCCAUGGCCUCCAUACAAGGGCGAUGCUCAGCAACCGGCAAGCCUGUUGUUGAAGAAUCUAACUAUCCGGUACAGGAGGAAUGCGACAAUAAGUGUGAAAACGAUGGGAUCAUCAUAGGUAAACAUUUUCCAUGUUUACACCUGUUCUGCAGACUGUGUCGUGCUGAUCCACUGCUGACAAAGCGUUGUCAAGUUUGUAACGACGAAGUGAAAGACUAUCAAGCACUUGAUCUUACUCCACCAAAGCUCUUGAAUGGCAUAGAAAGUGUAAAAAAAUGUCCGUUUUGUAGAGUAAACGAUUUUAGAGUGUGUAACUGGCCUUGUGGUCACUGUGUUUGUGGCAUAUGUGCCAAUAACAAUUUUGUGUGUAUAAUUUGUGAAAAGACUGUUAGAUUCCAAUAUAUGGUUGAUGUAAACAUUUAUUUUGGAAAUGGCGAACAAUUUGGAGAUAAGUUUAAUCUUACAUGUAAUUCGGAUAUGUUUGACCGCCAAACAGGGCGUAUGAAAUGCUCACAAUGUCAAAAGUUUCCAGUUCGAAUAGUGUAUAGAAAUUGUGGUCACUGCGUGUGUACAGGAUGCUCAGUUGAUAAAAUUGGUCGUUUUUGCGGAAUUUGCAAAAGCCCCGUAGUGCAGUUGUGGCCCAAAGAAAUAUGUUUGAAUCCAAUGAUUUUUAAUUAAAAAGUAGCAACAACCCAAGGCUGGUAUUCAUAAAACAUCUCGUUAUUUCUUAAUAUAAAAGGAUUUCAUAAAACUUUCAUAGUCAGUAAUAGCCAUUGUAAAGAAAAAAAACAACAAACGUUUUUAACAUAAAAGUAUGUAUUGUACAUACAAUUAAUUAAAAAAAAUAAUAUUUUAUUUAUUAUUAAUUUUCAUAUCACGUGACCAAUGACAUACUUAACUUGGGAAUAUAGUAUGCAAAUGACUACGUAUGUUUUAUAAAUAUUGGCCCAGUGAAACAAGUGUAAAAGUAUUAAAUAUCUUGUGGUAUUCAUUUGCAGAAAUAGUAACUGCAGAUGUAGACUCUGUCUCUAUCUCCAAGAUAAAUUUACCUGAACUUGUAUCUAGAUGUUGAAUUCAACGUCAGCGUACAGUGUCCCUUAGUUUGAUAACAAUAAGCAUAGUUAGUCAACACAAAACAUUUUAGUCAGUAACAAAUGAUAAUAGCACAAACCAUUAUUAAAUAUGUACUUUCUACGUAUUUUAAUAUUAAGCAAAUAUGUGGAAAUAUACCCUAUGCUUGAGAACAUUUUGAACUACAAUCAUUCCCUUUGAGUGGCUGGUAACCCGUGGCCAUUUGAUGACAGCUAUGGGUAUAGGUCAAUGGAUAAAAUUAUUAAUUCACGGUCGACCGUGGUAUAUAUUUGUCCAUGACAUCAUUUUAAAAAGAAUUGAUGUAGAUCUAUGCCAUUUGUUCUUCCAUGUUUCUUGUUUAAGAGUUUUGUUUUUGUGUUCUAUGUUUUUGGUGUUUACCCAGUGCCAUUAAACCGGGUUUAUGUUUAAACAUUUUGCUACUGAGCUUGUUUAUGUAGUUUUUUACAUAACUAUGAAUCUUCAGUCACUUCAGUGGUAGAUUGCCCUUGACCGGUUGAUUGCACCCAUUGCUGUUGGAGUCAGAUUUUUUAAAAGUCAGCAAGUUGUGUCUGCAACGUUUUGUCUGCACAUUAAAUUGCGCUUUGACCCCUAUAAUUAUAGGGCUUGUAGGUCAAAUGUCAAUGUCACAUUUAAGACUGUUAAGAACAUUUUCCCGCAUAAUUACACACUCGAAAACAGCUAGACCUAGGACCAUGUAACAUCGGUGAUAGCUUGUUUUGACUUAUAAAUUUAAAUAACCUCUAUUGUCUUCGGCAUCAGUAGAAAUAAAGGUUAAUGUUACAUAAACUGUCAUUUAAACUCUACGUUUAACAUUUAAUACAGCCUGGCAACUGCAUAUUACAAAACGUUACGUUCAACAAAAACGUUAGAUAUUGAAAACAUAUAUGUCAAACCAAUGAAAUCGAUUAUUAAGAUUCAAUACGUAGAACCCUUAAUCUUUAACAGCAUAACAGACAUAAAGUCAAAAUUUCAUUCUUCAUGUAAAGAAGUAUAUAUUCUAAGGAAUCAUCUUAUCAACUAACGUACGGCGCAAUAUCGUAAGAUCUUGAUUUUCAACAUCGAGUAAUUGACAUAAUUAAAUAGAACCUGCACAAUAUAACACAUAUUGCCUAGACUAUCAGCAUUUUAUAUUAUAAAUACUCAGAAAGAUCAAUUGUUCAACACGACCGUUGAAAAUAUGCGUGUCCGGUUAGCGCAGUGGAUAGCGUACUUGCUUCUCGCAAAGGUGACCUGGGUUCUGGGUUCGCCCGGGUGGAUAAGAGUUUGGUUGGUAGUCUCAAGUGGGUUUUCGCCGGGCUCUCAGUGUCCCCCACAACACAAAACCGCACUUUCAUGCAGCAUCGUGCCAAAGAGAGUGACCUAGUGUCUAGGGGAUAUUAUGAUAGGUACCUUGUGUAACUAUGACUGUACAAAAAUAGUUAUAGCCUGUUUCACAUUAUGUAAUGAGUAAUAAGAUGUAAUGGAACAUCUCCCUUCUUUCGAAAUAAAGAAAAUGAUAUCAAUUAAAAUUCAGUUAAGUCUGAACUCUUACACUAAAAAUAUUUAAUUAAUCUAAACGUGACACAAACAAUACAUGUAUGGAUCGAAAUCAUUGCAUGUCAUGAGAACCGUUCAUAAAUGAAAUGUGCAACAAAACAAAAUCAUAGAAAAAUUAAGAUAAAACUGUACACAUAAACACUUCUUAGUGUCACAUUGGCCACUGAAAGUUAUGAAGUUGGCUAUAUCAGAUUACAACAACAAUGUUGAAUGUCACACACUUAAUUAAAUGAACUGCUGUAAGCAAGAGUGUUUAUAAGUCAUUUAAUUAACCCAUUCAUUCCCAGUGAUAAGAGUAUUGGGUCGCACCAUUCUGCCAGCUCUAGUUACAUUACUUUGUUGAUCAUUUAACUGUUUUUUGGAGGACGCUGUUUCGGCAGCUUUGUCAUAACUAGGUUGAUGGGCAGAAUUUAAUGGAUGUGGUUUCUGGGCUUAGAUAUGAUUUCUAGAGUCUGCAAUGACUUUUGGGCUAAAUUCCUCUAUAUGUGGGAAUUUGUAUGAUUUAGUAAUUGCCUAUUUCGACGGUAAAGGUCACCAUCUUCAGUUUCAACAAUGUAUGACUUGUCAUUGUGUUUUGAAAUAACUUGCGCAGGAUUCCAGAUUUUUGCUGUUUGAAGUCUUAUAUCUUCCCUUCUCUUUAAAGGUUUUAAGUGUUUAGAUGACCUAUCAUAAAAUGUUUUUUGUUUUUUUGACUUUGUGCUGCUUAUUUUGUUUUGGACAAAUUUGGUACUGACGGUCUGUGGCUGCAACUGUUUUCUUGUAACUGGUAAUAUGGAAUUUUUUCUCCUGCACAUUCACAAUUGUACUGGUGAAUAUCUUAAGUCUUGCAAAGGUGUGCUUCUAUAUUCAAGAACUGCUAUGUAAGGGUUGUCUUAAGGUCUUUGGCCUUCUAUAUAGUAUUUUGACUGACUUAACCAUAACCUCUGCUAGACCAUCUGAUUGGGGUCUUAACGGUUAAGAAGUCACGUGUUCGAGACUGCAGUCCCUUGCAAAAUCUUUGAAUACGUCUGAUGCUUAUUGCUAGCAAAAUGUAUUUUCAACUUUGCUAUUAUCGUCUAACCGCGUGUUUCCGGUAAUUUGUUUUCUUUAAAAUUUAUAAUCAACACUCAACAAGUAUUCGUGUCCAUCAAAAUAAUAUAAGUCUCUGUAUGCAUAUUGCCAUGGCCAUGUUGGCGUUUCAUGGGGCACUGAAGGUUUUUUGACAUUUAUGCUCUGUGUUUCAGACAAACAGGACAGUUCAGUAAAUAGCCAGUCAUUUCUUUUACCAUUCCAGGCCAGAAGAAUGCAUCGCUUGCCCUACUGACUGAUUUAUCUACACCCAUGUGGCCUACAUGGACCUUUGCCAUAUGUUCCGUGCGUGAAUGCUUUGGAAUAAAUAUUAUCUGCCCUCUAAAUAUCAAACCAUCCUCAGUUCAUCCCAAUGAUUAAUCAAUUCAAUUUAGGGCCAACCGGUUUCUAUAGUCCGUUUUAUGGUUUUAAUGUGAAACACGGUUUAUCCCCAGUAUAUUCAAAUUUUACUGACUGUUCCAAGGCGUCACCUAACAAUCCUUGAUAAACACACCUAGUUAUUGUAUAUAGUAUAUAUGUACUGUGUUGUUUGUAGAGUUUUGCGCUGUUGCUCCAUGUUUCUGGUUUGUGAUUGUUUGUUUUUGUGUUCGUCUCUGGCGUUUACCCUGUGCCAUUAAACGGGGUUUGUGUUUAAACUUCCGCCUACGGAACUUGUUUCUGUAGUUUUUCAUAUAGAUAUUGUAACAAUCCCUAACUGCUCAAGUCGUCUGAGUGUAAAUGUCAAACCUUGCAACAUUGUGUAAAUAUGCCAAUCUAACCCUUCCAUUGCAGCUAGCUGAUUGUUCAUUGGCUGUCGAGAAAGCAAGUUACCCAUAGGUACUUGUUUUCCAUGUACAUAUUUGACCUCAAUGUCAUAUUUUUGAACCCUGAGCAACAUUAUCUGUAUACCCGUAUACGAGGAGUUGCUGCAGACAAAGGUUUUUUUCAUGAUUGCUGCAAUGGAUCAUAAACUAUGACCUUUUGUCCAUAAACAUACCGAUGAAACAUUAGGCAACCAAAUACUAUUUCGGGCAUCUCUCGCUCAAUAUUUGCAUAUGCACUUUAUGUCUGAGUCAAAAGCAAUAGGGAUCUUGCAAAAUGGCUGUAUCAACACCAUAUUUGCUGGCUUCACAUUCCAGGAUAACUUGUUUCUUAUUGUCAAAGUAUGCAAGUACAGGGUUUUUUGACACCACGACUUUUAUUUUGUUGAAAGCGUCAAUUCGUGGCUAGUCAAAUAAGAACUAUGUAUAUUUUUAGCAACUUGUGCAAAGGACUUUUAACAUCGGCUAAAUUUGGUGAGAACAUCUGUAAGUAGUUCACCAUCCCAAGAACAGUUUCUAGCUCUGCUCUAUUUUGAGGAAUUUAUAGUGACGAAAUUGCUUUGACCUAUUCACUGUCAAUUCAAUUUAUAACCCUUGUUCAGUGAUUAUAUGACCAAAGAAACUUACCCCUUGUACGUCAAUCUUGAGCUUUUCACGAUCGAACCGUACGCCUAUUUGACGUGCUCUAUCAAGAACAGCAAAUAAGUUUCUGUUGUGUUCAAGCUUUGUUCUCCCCAGGCAAGAAUAUCGUCAACGACACAUGCCUUUGAAUUUGUUAUCUAUUGUCCGUUGCCUCACAUCUGAGCUCAGGCCAAAUGGCGUUCGUUCUGAAUGUCGUAAGAUUUGACGACUGCUUAUCUAAAUUGAUAGACCUGUAUGCAUGUGUAACGUCGAGAACACUUAAAUGGUGUGCACCGUUAAACCUACUGGUGACGUCAUCAAGUGUACGCAUAGGGCAAUGGGGCCGUUUGAUAACUUGCCAGUUGUUGACUCCUCAACUAAGCAACUCACCCAAUCAGUCGGCGUGUCUUUAACCUUAGUCACAAUGCCCUCCCUUUCCGUACGGUCCAGUUCGUCCUGCAGUCUAGUCUUAAGAUCUUCUUGGACACGUCUAGGAGGUUAACCCUAGGCAAUGCAUCAAGUUUCAGAUAUAGUUUGCAUUAACCAGGCAUGGUGCCUAUACCUUUGAAAAGGUCACCAUAGUCAUUUAGGACUGUUCGCUUGUCAAGGUCAUCCUCCACAACAGAAAAUGUCAGUGAGACAAGUCCAAUGACUGUGCAUGAAUUUAGACCUAAAAAUGGGGACGCGGGGCUGUCUACAACACGCAACUCGGGGUGAAUUACUUUUGACUUUUAGCGGCAUGCUUAUUUGAGUUAACACACUACUGGUAAUGUAUUGCCAGUGUAGCUUGUGAGAGUAUACACAGGUGCUUGCAAUUUAUGUGAAAUACCAAGUUUCCUGAACUGUCAGUGAAAGAACCUUUACUGUAGAACCUGUAUCGAUUUUAAAUUGGAUGUUCAAAUUUAAUGGACCAAUUUUAAUAUUAACAAAGGUAUGAUCUUGCAAAGUGGUAUUUACCGCAUCAACAUAAUACUUGUCACUUUCAUCUGAGCCGUCCUGUUCUGCCGUGGAAACGUUGUACACGGGAUUCGAUUUGCCGACACUUGAACGACAACACUUGGCAAAGUGGUUAUUUAUUUUUUGCAUGAGUGACACAUUUUGCCGAGCGCCGUGCAUUUGUCCUUUUUUCUGUCGUGCUUCCCGCCAGAGUUUGUACACGUUCGUGCUUGUGAUGUCACUUUGUCAAGUACAAGUUGUUGUUGCUGUUCCUUGUCUUGCUCGAUUCAUUAUAUGUUCUAUUUGUUACAAGAUUAAUGUUCUGGCUUUGGGGCUCAAUCGUCCGCAUCUGCUGUUUGUUGUAUUCCACAGACUGAUGCAGUUUGAAUAGUCUUGUCAAGGGUAAGUUGUUUUCCGUCAAUGAUCAAUUUCUCACGUAUUUUGGAUGAAUUGCUGCCUAACACCACUCCUUCUCUGAUCAUCUCAUCAAUUUCUUUGAAUUCGUAUUCCCUGGCUAUCACAAUAGCCGCGUUAUAACUUGAUCCACAGUGUCAUGUUCUUGUACCUGGUUGUAAAUUUUGUAUUUGGGUUGUACAUCGCAAACUUGUCCUCUGUCGACUAAGGCCAUAUUGCAUGAAUAUCCCUGCCGAUUUCUCCAACUUAUAUAGGUAGAUAACUGAUUCUUCAGGUUUCCCUUAUAAGGGUCUUGUAAAUUUAAAAUGUACAUGUCUUGCGAAUUGCUCCCAUUCGUCAGCUGAGUUUCUUUCAUCCCAUCGCAUGAUCGGAGGUGCGAUUCCCGCCAAUUCUUUACUCAUACAGAUGUAUACUUCCAGACAAAAUCACAAUUGUCAUAAAGUUUUCUUCUAACACCAUAUAAUGAUGACUGUGAGGUCGUAGUCAAGUGACUAUUAGAUAAAAACGUGUGAGGUUAUUUCAUAUAGAAAUACUAGCUAUGUUAUGCAACUUUUUCAAAAUUGGACUGCAUGCUCAGACCAUGCGAGCCGAUAUAUACAAUAAUAGUUAUAGUCUGUUCCAUAUUUUGUUAUGAGUGUUAAGACAAAAUGGAACACCAUGUAUCACGUCUUAUUUGGUGUGCAAACACGAAUCCGUCACUACCGCGCGUCCAAAAAAGCGUCAUAUCGUAGUAUUCCAUUUUUUAUAUACUUUUUUAUUUAUUUCUUUAUAUUUUUCCCAUUUCAGUAUGACUAUAAUUUAUCGCUAUCUUUCAAAUUUAUUUAUAUAGAAUAACUGGAAAGUAUAACUAUGCUACGUACUUUUUUGUAUUGAAGUCAAGGGUGGCUACUCAAGCAAAACAGGUUAGCAGUUACAGACUUCCCUUUAUUGAGCAAAAUAACAAAAACAUUGUUUUAUAUCUCAGCAAAUAAUUAAAUUGCUAAUAAAAACCAAUAAUUAAAUGUCAAAGCGCGGAAAUAAAAUCCCCAUGACAAUCGGCAUGAACCGGCAUACAUCCGAGGUUGUAUUUGAUGGAAAAUGCCGAAUGAAACCAUAAACGGUACUAUUUAUUACACGUAUAAACAAACCGUCUUUUCUAGUUCAUACGUAACGCGACAAUUUUAAAAACAUGGUCGAAAGUGAAUGUUUUUAGGAUUUUUCAAUAUGUUUGCAGAAAUGAGGGAAGUCCGUUAGUCAAUCGCUAUCACUUUCGAUAAUGCGAAUUCGCCUUUUUUGUUAUGUUGAGCUGUUCAUGUUGAUAUAAAUGUUAAAUUUCAUCAUCUUCGAAUUGGUAACCAAUUAUCUAGAUUAUAGAAUGAUCGAAAGUGUUUUCAGCUAAGAAAAUGUUCCUCUCGCUCAUUCCCAUGUCUCUUUCAAUUUCAUGUUCCUGGAUAUUUACCUGCAAUCUGUGGUGUUAGUAACGAGAAAGUAGGUCCUUGACCUCACCCGAACUAGCAUGAUACGGUAUAAGAAAAAGACAGCAAGUGAUACCGAUUUUUCGAUGCGGAUUGCUGUAAUUUUGCUAAUGAAUUUGGAAAAGAAAAGUAAUUGUACAUAAAACACGUUAAUAUAACUUUUUUUAAAGUUGUUAUGAAAUAAAUAAAAUAAUAAAAAAUGGUCACAAAGUUAAUCAGAACAUUAAAUGUAAAAUUUAAAUGAAAAUGGAAGGUUUGCUUCGCUCUCCCGCUCUUCCUAUCUUCUUUAUUCCAGAUUAUAUCUGUAUUAUAUAUUCAUUUUUUUUAAACUUUACCUGUAGUUUUAAUCAAAAUCAGGAAUCAAAUUUAAAAUGUUAUGUGAUAAAUUUGUUAUCGAUGCACGUAUUGUUAUUUUUUUGAUGUUACGUUGUACUUAAAUGUUUUUUAAAUGUACAAGGUUUAAUUUCGCAAUCUGCAACUAAGAAAAAUAGGUUGUUUAAUAUAAUGUAUAUUUUUUCGCCCAUGUGUGUUCAGUUAAGCAAUAAAUUGCGUUAUUGAUGUCAUUAUCUGGGUAUGAUCGCAGUUGGGCUGGAAAAAGUGUGUGAAGUCCAACAGUUCAUUAUUUCUUUCCAAAAUAGUUAAUAUUAUACGUAAUUUCAUUGAAGAAAACCUUAGAGUAAUUAUUUCCCACCAUGCUGUAAAUCAAACGGCCCGACCGGUUUAUACAUUUUACCGCUUCGAUAAAAAAAGACCCAAAAUACAGAUAUUUAUAACGUAAAACUGAAUCGCAAAAAAACAAUACAUUUUACAAAUAAUAAAUUAACACUUUUCAACAUGUUGAUUCCAAAUUUUCGUGGGCUGCUAAACAAAUGCAAACAAUAGUACGUUAGUCAUAUUAUACGCGAUGUUUCGCGAUCCGAUAUAAUUUAAGUGAUUGUAGAUAUACUGUUCCAACUCAGAUUGAAUAACAUGCGUUCUUUAUGAGUAUAUGAUUUUUUUUCUUUCAAAAAUGUAUUCAUCAUUAAAUGAUUAGGAAAAAAGUUUAAUGUUAAAACAUGCAAUUCGUCUUUAAUAUCUGCAAACUGUUGAAAUACUUAUCUUUCUUUUGAGCCCUGUUUUGCUAGGAGUGUAUUUGUUCUGUUUAUGUAAACAUAUGCAUCUUGGGAGUGUAACCAUUCUGUCUAUUUAAACAUGUGCUCGUUGGAAGUAUUUGUUCUGUUUAGUUAAACAUAUACAUCUUAGGAGUUUAACUAUUCUGUUUAUUUUAACAUGUGCUCUUUAGAAGUCUAUUUGUUCUGUUUAUGUAAACAAAUGCAUCUUAGGAGUAUAACCAUUCUGUUUAUUUAAUCAUGUACACGUAGGAAUCUAUUUGUUCUGUUUAUGUGAGCAAAGGCAUCUUGGGAGUAUAACCAUUCUGUUUAUUUUAACAUGUGCUGGUAGGAAGUCUAUUUGUUCUGUUUAUGUAAACAUAUGCAUCUUAGGAGUAUAACCAUUCUGUUUAUUUAAACAUGUACACGUUGGGAGUCUAAUUGUUCUGUCAAUGUAAACCAACUUGUUGGGAGAAGAGCCAUUUUGUUCUUUAAGCAUGUGCACGUUUGGAGUAUAUUUGUUCUGUUUAUGUAAACAUAUGCAUGUUAGGAGUAUAACCAUUCUGUUUAUUUAAUCAUGUACAUGUAGGGAAUCUAUUUGUUCUGUUUAGGUAAACAUGCAUGUUAGGAGUAUAACUAUUGUGUUUAUUUUUAACAUAUGCAUGUUAGGAGUCUAAUUGUUCUGUUUAUGUACAUAUAUGGAUAUUGGGAGUAUAAACUUUCUGUUUAUUUAAACAUGAGCACGUAGGGAGUCUUAUUGUUCUGUUUAUGUAAACAUAUGGAUCUUGGGAGUAUAACCUUUCUGUUUAUUUUAACAUGAGCACGUUGGGAGUCUAAUUGUUCUGUUUAUAUAAACAUACGGAUCUUGGGAGUAUAACCUUUCUGUUUAUUUUAACAUGAGCACGUAGGGAGUCUAAUUGUUCUGUUUAUGUAAACAUAUGGAUCUUGGGAGUAUAACCUUUCUGUUUAUUUAAUCAUGUACACGAAGGGAAUCUAAUUGUUCUGUUUAUGUAAACAUAUGCAUCUUGGGAGUAUAACCUUUCUGUUUAUUUUAACUUGAGCACGUUGGGAGUCUAACUGUUCUGUUUAUGUAGACAUAUGCAUGUUAGGAGUAUAACCAUUCUGUUUAUUUAAUCAUGUGCACGUUGGAAGCCUAAUCAAUCUGUUUAUUGAAGCAUAUGCAUAUUUAAACAUAUGUAUGUCGUGAGUCUAUUAGUUCUGCUUAUUCAAAAAUAAGCAUGUUGGGAUUGCGUUCUGUUUCAUUUAAACAUAUGCUUGAAACUAAUAAAGAUUUAAUUUAA